GAUAGCCAUAGAUGACAAAGGGAUCCAACGUGGGCUGGGUUAUCAAGCGUACCGUUUGCAAAUUGGCAUCGUACAACCCACCCCAGAUGGUUGCUUUGAGAACUAACAGCAGGGCACCGAACCCCAAAAAGAGCAGAUGAUGUCCCAAAAUAAUGCCCAGUUGUUUUGGAUCAUCCCA
rnacentral:antisense_RNA from 20 species